rnacentral:rRNA from 1 species
GACGAACGCUGGCGGCGUGCCUAAUACAUGCAAGUAGAACGCUGAAGGAGGAGCUUGCUUCUCUGGAUGAGUUGCGAACGGGUGAGUAACGCGUAGGUAACCUGCCUGGUAGCGGGGGAUAACUAUUGGAAACGAUAGCUAAUACCGCAUAAGAGUAGAUGUUGCAUGACAUUUGCUUAAAAGGUGCAAUUGCAUCACUACCAGAUGGACCUGCGUUGUAUUAGCUAGUUGGUGGGGUAACGGCUCACCAAGGCGACGAUACAUAGCCGACCUGAGAGGGUGAUCGGCCACACUGGGACUGAGACACGGCCCAGACUCCUACGGGAGGCAGCAGUAGGGAAUCUUCGGCAAUGGACGGAAGUCUGACCGAGCAACGCCGCGUGAAUGAAGAAGGUUUUCGGAUCGUAAAGCUCUGUUGUAAGAGAAGAACGAGUGUGAGAGUGGAAAGUUCACACUGUGACGGUAUCUUACCAGAAAGGGACGGCUAACUACGUG